AUUGAACGCUGGCGGCAGGCCUAACACAUGCAAGUCGAACGAGUGGCGGACGGGUGAGUAAUGUCUGGGAAACUGCCUGAUGGAGGGGGAUAACUACUGGAAACGGUAGCUAAUACCGCAUACCAUCAGAUGUGCCCAGAUGGGAUUAGCCAGUUGGUGGGGUAACGGCUUACCAAGACGACGAUCCCUAGCUGGUCUGAGAGGAUGACCAGCCGCACUGGAACUGAGACACGGUCCAAACUCCGACGGGAGGCAGCAGUGGGGAAGAUUGCACAAUGGGCGCAAGCCUGAUGCAGCCAUGCCGCGUGUAUGAAGAGGGCCUUCGGGUUGUAAAGUACUUUCAGCGGGGAGGCGUUACCCACAGAAGGAGCACCGGCUAACUCCGUGCCAGCAGCCGCGGUAAUAC
rnacentral:rRNA from 1 species